UCGUCCUCCGGCUAACCGUCUAGUUCUUUCUGUUGUUGCACUCCGAACUCUACUUACUCUUCCACCCCAACUCUUUCCACAGAUUUCACACUAUCCUUGGCCCCUCACUUCUGUUUUCAGAGUUUAAGUCUUACGGAGGAAGGAAAAGGAGCUAUUUGAAGAAAACUCAAGAGAAGAAAAAGCAAAAAUAAGAGACUUUUAUCAGAAGGACAAGUGAAGGCAAGAUUUAAUUCUUUAUAAAAGAAAUCACCGAAUAUUUCAUAUCUAUCUAACUGAAGUUACCCUAACUGGAGGUAUCAAGUGUGUUUACUACAUACCAGUGAAAGAAUAUUGCAACCAGGUAAUCAAGCAUAUUUACAUAUAUAUUUUUUCUAUAAUACUGAACUGCCUUUCCAGA